rnacentral:lncRNA from 1 species
AUCAAUGAAAGAAAGAGAACGGAAAAUCUUCAGACCAGAUAAAUUUUCAGCAAGGUAAGUGACUGCCGGCAAAGGAAAACCCAUUUUUGGUGUCUCUUCCCUUCAGAUUGCCAUUCAAGGUCGUUCUCGACUGGCGAUAUCCCACCCCACAUGAACAAAGAGGAAAAGACCGAAACACCCAACGUCCUCUCCAAAAACACUACCCUCAAGAAAAUCCUAUUGAUCCGUGAUCGUACGUGUGAUCUCUGAUUCGAUAGGAAAUCGUGUGCAAAAAGGUCAUGGUGCAGUUAUGG